GACGAACGCUGGCGGCGUGCUUAACACAUGCAAGUCGAGCGGUAAGGCCCUUCGGGGUACACGAGCGGCGAACGGGUGAGUAACACGUGGGUGACCUGCCCUCAGCUUCGGGAUAAGCCUGGGAAACCGGGUCUAAUACCGGAUAUGACCAUGGGAUGCAUGUUCUGUGGUGGAAAGUUUUUCGGCUGGGGAUGGGCCCGCGGCCUAUCAGCUUGUUGGUGGGGUGAUGGCCUACCAAGGCAGUGACGGGUAGCCGGCCUGAGAGGGCGACCGGCCACACUGGGACUGAGACACGGCCCAGACUCCUACGGGAGGCAGCAGUGGGGAAUAUUGCGCAAUGGGCGGAAGCCUGACGCAGCGACGCCGCGUGGGGGAUGACGGCCUUCGGGUUGUAAACCUCUUUCGCCAGGGACGAAGCUUUGGUGACGGUACCUGGAGAAGAAGCACCGGCCAACUACGUGCCAGCCGCCGCGGUAAAAC
rnacentral:rRNA from 1 species